UACGAAGGGGGCUAGCGUUGUUCGGAAUUACUGGGCGUAAAGCGCUCGCAGGCGGAUUGAUAAGUCGGGGGUGAAAUCCCGGGGCUCAACCUCGGAAUUGCCUUCGAUACUGUCUAUCUAGAGUCCGGGAGAGGUGAGUGGAAUUCCUAGUGUAGAGGUGAAAUUCGUAGAUAUUAGGAAGAACACCAGUGGCGAAGGCGGCUCACUGGCCCGGAACUGACGCUCAGGAGCGAAAGCGUGGGGAGCAAACAGG
rnacentral:rRNA from 1 species